AACGAACGCUGGCGGCGCGCCUAACACAUGCAAGUCGAACGAGAAGGCGUAGCAAUACGCUUGUAGAGUGGCGAACGGGUGAGUAAUACGUGGGUGACCUACCCUCGAGUGGGGAAUAACCCGCCGAAAGGCGGGCUAAUGCCGCGUACGCUUCCGUCCUCACGGGGACGGAAGGAAAGCUGUACCGUGGGUACGGCGCUCAAGGAUGGGCUCACGUCCUAUCAGCUUGUUGGUAGGGUAACGGCCACCAAGGCUACGACGGGUAGCUGGUCUGAGAGGACGAUCAGCCACACUGGCACUGCGACACGGGCCAGACUCCUACGGGAGGCAGCAGUGAGGAAUAUUGCGCAAUGGGCGAAAGCCUGACGCAGCGACGCCGCCGU
rnacentral:rRNA from 1 species